UACAGAGGUCUCAAGCGUUGUUCGGAUUCAUUGGGCGUAAGGGGUGCGUAGGUGGCAUGGUAAGUCGGAUGUGAAAUCCCGGGGCUCAACCCCGGAACUGCAUUCGAUACUGCCAGGCUAGAGUACUGGAGAGGAGAUUGGAAUUUACGGUGUAGCAGUGAAAUGCGUAGAUAUCGUAAGGAAGACCGGUGGCGAAGGCGGAUCUCUGGACAGUUACUGACACUGAGGCACGAAGGCCAGGGGAGCAAACGGG
rnacentral:rRNA from 1 species